AGGCUUAGUUGAGUUGAGUUAAGUGCAUCAAAAUGGAGCAGUCUAAAUGUAGACCACAAGGCAUAUUUCUUUGUUAAUGAAUUCCCUAGUUAUCCCCCAUAUAGACAACAUCCAACCAUCAACAAGCAUUUUGUCACUUUACAAUAUGUUAGAGCCCAGUCGUAAGAAAUAUCAAACACAAGCAGAGAAUAGGAAGGUAAAAGCAUUUUCCAGAAGCCAGGGUCCAAUAAUUGGAGCAUCACACAGGCAGAUAUGAGACAUGUUCAAGUGAUGUGGAAAGAAAGGAGACAGAACAUUAAUAUGAGAAUUACAAUCUUUGUAUGAUAGGAUAUGGCAUCAUUCACUGCUUUAUUAUUCUUUCCAGCAAUAACAAAGCAGAAAGUACAAAAUUAUAUGCAUGCAGAUUCUAGAACGACUCCAUCAAAUGAAAAUAAUAAUUUGCUACAUCUAGACAGAAAUAGAACAGAAAAUCAAAAGCAUUUGGAAAAGUCUUAAAAGAAAAAAUAAAUAAACAUACAAUUUCAGAUAAACAUGAAAAUCCUACAAUUAAAAUUAAAUAGAUUACUAAAUGAAUUCGCCUCCCUUUAAUAAGAGGAAAAGUUUAUUCCCUCGCACAAGUUAGACUUAGAAUUGCUUCCCUAACAAAUUAAAGAAACUGUAAUUAGGUGCCCUAAUAAGUAACUGGGGGACAAUAAAAACAUCAUGAAAAACAAAGAUUCCACCGGAAGAAAAUUACUAAGAUAAACAAUAUUACAAAUGUGCUACAAAUAUUUAAAAAAAAUCAAACAUCUACGAUUUACUAUCUAGUGUAGCAAGUGGUAAUUGAUUAUAGAGCAAAGAUGGAUCAUCUGCCAACAAUUAAGACAUCAACAUUGAGAAAUUGCUUACUGAGAAGGGAACUCACAUAAGCAAGCAGGCACCAAUAAGUAACAGUGAAAUAGUACGAGGCUUGUAUGCCCAUGCAGUCCAUGGAUCUACA
rnacentral:misc_RNA from 1 species